UACGGGGGGGGCAAGCGUUGUUCGGAAUUACUGGGCGUAAAGGGCUCGUAGGCGGCCAACUAAGUCAGACGUGAAAUCUCUCGGCUUAACCGGGGAACUGCGUCUGAUACUGGAUGGCUUGAGGUUGGGAGAGGGAUGCGGAAUUCCAGGUGUAGCGGUGAAAUGCGUAGAUAUCUGGAGGAACACCGGUGGCGAAGGCGGCAUCCUGGACCAAUUCUGACGCUGAGUGAGCGAAAGCCAGGGGAGCAAACGGG
rnacentral:rRNA from 1 species